rnacentral:rRNA from 1 species
GACGUAGGGCGCGAGCGUUGUCCGGAUUUAUUGGGCGUAAAGAGCUCGUAGGCGGCUUGUCGCGUCGAAUGUGAAAACCCGGGGCUCAACCCCGGGCCUGCAUUCGAUACGGGCAGACUAGAGUUCGGUAGGGGAGUCUGGAAUUCCUGGUGUAGCGGUGAAAUGCGCAGAUAUCAGGAGGAACACCGGUGGCGAAGGCGGGACUCUGGGCCGACACUGACACUGAGAGACGAAAGCUAGGGGAGCGAAUGGG